rnacentral:snRNA from 1 species
AUGCUUACCUGGCAGGGGAGAUACCAUGAUCACGAAGGUAGUUUUCCCAGGGUGAGGCUUAUCCAUUGCACUCUGGAUGUGCUGACCCCUGUGAUUUCCCCAAAUGUGGGAAACUCGACCGCAUAUUUUGUGGUAGUGGGGGACUGCGUUCACGCGUUCUCCUG